rnacentral:rRNA from 1 species
UACGGAGGGUGCAAGCGUUAAUCGGAAUUACUGGGCGUAAAGCGCGCGUAGGCGGUUUGUUAAGUCGGAUGUGAAAGCCCCGGGCUCAACCUGGGAAUUGCACUCGAUACUGGCAAACUAGAGUAUAAGAGAGGGAGGUAGAAUUCCAUGUGUAGCGGUGAAAUGCGUAGAUAUAUGGAGGAAUACCAGUGGCGAAGGCG